GGUUAAGCGACUAAGCGUACACGGUGGAUGCCCUGGCAGUCAGAGGCGAUGAAGGACGUGCUAAUCUGCGAUAAGCGUCGGUAAGGUGAUAUGAACCGUUAUAACCGGCGAUUUCCGAAUGGGGAAACCCAGUGUGAUUCGUCACACUAUCAUUAACUGAAUCCAUAGGUUAAUGAGGCGAACCGGGGGAACUGAAACAUCUAAGUACCCCGAGGAAAAGAAAUCAACCGAGAUUCCCCCAGUAGCGGCGAGCGAACGGGGAGGAGCCCAGAGCCUGAAUCAGUGUGUGUGUUAGUGGAAGCGUCUGGAAAGGCGCGCGAUACAGGGUGACAGCCCCGUACACAAAAAUGCACAUGCUGUGAGCUCGAUGAGUAGGGCGGGACACGUGGUAUCCUGUCUGAAUAUGGGGGGACCAUCCUCCAAGGCUAAAUACUCCUGACUGACCGAUAGUGAACCAGUACCGUGAGGGAAAGGCGAAAAGAACCCCGGCGAGGGGAGUGAAAAAGAACCUGAAACCGUGUACGUACAAGCAGUGGGAGCCUCUUUAUGGGGUGACUGCGUACCUUUUGUAUAAUGGGUCAGCGACUUAUAUUCUGUAGCAAGGUUAACCGAAUAGGGGAGCCGAAGGGAAACCGAGUCUUAACUGGGCGUUAAGUUGCAGGGUAUAGACCCGAAACCCGGUGAUCUAGCCAUGGGCAGGUUGAAGGUUGGGUAACACUAACUGGAGGACCGAACCGACUAAUGUUGAAAAAUUAGCGGAUGACUUGUGGCUGGGGGUGAAAGGCCAAUCAAACCGGGAGAUAGCUGGUUCUCCCCGAAAGCUAUUUAGGUAGCGCCUCGUGAAUUCAUCUCCGGGGGUAGAGCACUGUUUCGGCAAGGGGGUCAUCCCGACUUACCAACCCGAUGCAAACUGCGAAUACCGGAGAAUGUUAUCACGGGAGACACACGGCGGGUGCUAACGUCCGUCGUGAAGAGGGAAACAACCCAGACCGCCAGCUAAGGUCCCAAAGUCAUGGUUAAGUGGGAAACGAUGUGGGAAGGCCCAGACAGCCAGGAUGUUGGCUUAGAAGCAGCCAUCAUUUAAAGAAAGCGUAAUAGCUCACUGGUCGAGUCGGCCUGCGCGGAAGAUGUAACGGGGCUAAACCAUGCACCGAAGCUGCGGCAGCGACACUAUGUGUUGUUGGGUAGGGGAGCGUUCUGUAAGCCUGCGAAGGUGUACUGUGAGGUAUGCUGGAGGUAUCAGAAGUGCGAAUGCUGACAUAAGUAACGAUAAAGCGGGUGAAAAGCCCGCUCGCCGGAAGACCAAGGGUUCCUGUCCAACGUUAAUCGGGGCAGGGUGAGUCGACCCCUAAGGCGAGGCCGAAAGGCGUAGUCGAUGGGAAACAGGUUAAUAUUCCUGUACUUGGUGUUACUGCGAAGGGGGGACGGAGAAGGCUAUGUUGGCCGGGCGACGGUUGUCCCGGUUUAAGCGUGUAGGCUGGUUUUCCAGGCAAAUCCGGAAAAUCAAGGCUGAGGCGUGAUGACGAGGCACUACGGUGCUGAAGCAACAAAUGCCCUGCUUCCAGGAAAAGCCUCUAAGCAUCAGGUAACAUCAAAUCGUACCCCAAACCGACACAGGUGGUCAGGUAGAGAAUACCAAGGCGCUUGAGAGAACUCGGGUGAAGGAACUAGGCAAAAUGGUGCCGUAACUUCGGGAGAAGGCACGCUGAUAUGUAGGUGAAGUCCCUCGCGGAUGGAGCUGAAAUCAGUCGAAGAUACCAGCUGGCUGCAACUGUUUAUUAAAAACACAGCACUGUGCAAACACGAAAGUGGACGUAUACGGUGUGACGCCUGCCCGGUGCCGGAAGGUUAAUUGAUGGGGUUAGCGCAAGCGAAGCUCUUGAUCGAAGCCCCGGUAAACGGCGGCCGUAACUAUAACGGUCCUAAGGUAGCGAAAUUCCUUGUCGGGUAAGUUCCGACCUGCACGAAUGGCGUAAUGAUGGCCAGGCUGUCUCCACCCGAGACUCAGUGAAAUUGAACUCGCUGUGAAGAUGCAGUGUACCCGCGGCAAGACGGAAAGACCCCGUGAACCUUUACUAUAGCUUGACACUGAACAUUGAGCCUUGAUGUGUAGGAUAGGUGGGAGGCUUUGAAGUGUGGACGCCAGUCUGCAUGGAGCCGACCUUGAAAUACCACCCUUUAAUGUUUGAUGUUCUAACGUUGGCCCCUGAUCGGGGUUGCGGACAGUGUCUGGUGGGUAGUUUGACUGGGGCGGUCUCCUCCUAAAGAGUAACGGAGGAGCACGAAGGUUGGCUAAUCCUGGUCGGACAUCAGGAGGUUAGUGCAAUGGCAUAAGCCAGCUUGACUGCGAGCGUGACGGCGCGAGCAGGUGCGAAAGCAGGUCAUAGUGAUCCGGUGGUUCUGAAUGGAAGGGCCAUCGCUCAACGGAUAAAAGGUACUCCGGGGAUAACAGGCUGAUACCGCCCAAGAGUUCAUAUCGACGGCGGUGUUUGGCACCUCGAUGUCGGCUCAUCACAUCCUGGGGCUGAAGUAGGUCCCAAGGGUAUGGCUGUUCGCCAUUUAAAGUGGUACGCGAGCUGGGUUUAGAACGUCGUGAGACAGUUCGGUCCCUAUCUGCCGUGGGCGCUGGAGAACUGAGGGGGGCUGCUCCUAGUACGAGAGGACCGGAGUGGACGCAUCACUGGUGUUCGGGUUGUCAUGCCAAUGGCACUGCCCGGUAGCUAAAUGCGGAAGAGAUAAGUGCUGAAAGCAUCUAAGCACGAAACUUGCCCCGAGAUGAGUUCUCCCUGACUCCCUGAGAGUCCUGAAGGAACGUUGAAGACGACGACGUUGAUAGGCCGGGUGUGUAAGCGCAGCGAUGCGUUGAGCUAACCGGUACUAAUGAACCGUGAGGCUUAACCUU
rnacentral:rRNA from 2 species